AUUUGGAGUCGAAUAGGACUUGAUGUCAUGUGUAUGAUUGAGUAUAACAACUUAAACCGCAACCCGAUCUUAAAAGCCUAAGUAGUGUUUCCUUGUUAGAAGACACAAAGCCAUAGACUCAUAUGGACUUUGCCUACACCAUGA
rnacentral:sRNA from 1 species